rnacentral:rRNA from 1 species
UACAGAGGUCCCAAGCGUUGUUCGGAUUCAUUGGGCGUAAAGGGUGCGUAGGCGGCGCGGUAAGUCGGGUGUGAAAUUUCGGAGCUUAACUCCGAAACUGCAUUCGAUACUGCCGUGCUUGAGGACUGGAGAGGAGACUGGAAUUUACGGUGUAGCAGUGAAAUGCGUAGAGAUCGUAAGGAAGACCAGUGGCGAAGGCGGGUCUCUGGACAGUUCCUGACACUGAGGCUCGAAGGCCAGGGGAGCAAACGGG